rnacentral:rRNA from 1 species
UACGUAGGGCGCGAGCGUUGUCCGGAAUUAUUGGGCGUAAAGAGCUCGUAGGCGGCCUGUUGCGUCUGCUGUGAAAUCCCGGGGCUCAACCCCGGGCGUGCAGUGGAUACGGGCGGGCUAGAGGCAGGCAGGGGAGAACGGAAUUCCCGGUGUAGCGGUGAAAUGCGCAGAUAUCGGGAGGAACACCGGUGGCGAAGGCGACUCCUGGCCAAUACUGACGCUCAGGUGCGAAAGCGUGGGGAGCAAACA